CUGGGAAGAGCUCAUGGCGAAAUCCGCCGUCGUUGCGACGGUCCGGAUAUUUCGCGUAUAGGAGAGACGCUUCCGAACGCCGACUCCGGUGUAAGUCCCCCUGACUGGGGCUCCUACCCCGAGAGGGUGCAAGGCCCGUAGCGGCCGGCGUCGGCUUCGGAUGUCCUCUCCGGGGAGUCGGGUUGCUUGAGAGUGCAGCCCCAAUCGGGUGGUAAACUCCAUCUAAGGCUAAAUACGACCCGGAGACCGAUAGCGAACAAGUACCGUGAGGGAAAGUUGAAAAGGACUUUGAAGAGAGAGUUCAAGAGUACGUGAAACCGUUCGAAGGUAAACGAGUGGGCCCUCGAAGCCGUAAGGCGGGGGGACUCAGCCGGGCGCCUCGGGCCCGCCGCCGCGCGCGCGCUUCCCCACCGGGACGCGCCGCGGCGGAACCGGCCCGGGUUCCCGGCGCAUUUCCUCCCGCCCUCGGACGCUGCGACCGGUCGCGCGUGCCACGAGCGGUCGGCCUUACUCGCGGGGACCGGCAGGUAGCGGGGAUAGUGCUUCGGCGCCUUCCCCGUGUUUAGCCACCCCGCGAUCGAGAGCCGUUCGCGCGACCGAAGGACUCGGCCCUCAGGGGCCUCUCCGCGCCUUCCCACUCGGGAUCGGCCGCCCCCGUGCAGGGUCGCCGUCGUCCUCGCCGUCUC
rnacentral:rRNA from 1 species